rnacentral:rRNA from 1 species
UACGGAGGGUGCAAGCGUUAUCCGGAUUCACUGGGUUUAAAGGGUGCGUAGGCGGGCAGGUAAGUCAGUGGUGAAAUCUCCAAGCUUAACUUGGAAACUGCCGUUGAUACUAUCUGUCUUGAAUAUUGUGGAGGUGAGCGGAAUAUGUCAUGUAGCGGUGAAAUGCUUAGAUAUGACAUAGAACACCAAUUGCGAAGGCAGCUCGCUACACAUAUAUUGACUCUGAGGCACGAAAGCGUGGGGAUCAAACAGG